CGCUAGAUAAUGCUUAACCAGGACAUGCGCUCGCACAUCUGUCCAUGGCUGACCCCGGGUUAUCUCGUUUCUGGAGUCACGCUGGGAACAGGUGACUGAAGAGUCCUCGGCCGUACCUGUGCGGUUGUCGUUGACGGGACACUGGCUCCAGGGGAGAGGGUCCUGGAACGAGUUGAAGAAGUACCACAUGACCCAGGCGAUGAUGGUGUUGUAGUACAUGCCCACCAUGAAGGACACCAGCAUAGAGGCGAUGCCUGAGGUGUCUUGCUUUCACACUCACCGACUCCAGUGACGACAUCACUUCCUGUCGGCCACCGUAACUUCUGUUGGGUGCAGUUCGCAACCUCACCACUAGGUGGCUCUAAAAC